rnacentral:rRNA from 1 species
AGAGUUUGAUCCUGGCUCAGGAUGAACGCUGGCGGCGUGCUUAACACAUGCAAGUCGAACGGACCUUCGGGUUAGUGGCGGACGGGUGAGUAACGCGUGGGAAUCUGCCCUCAGGAGGGGGAUAACGGCUGGAAACGGCCGCUAAUACCCCAUAUGCCGAGAGGUGAAAUGAAUUUCGCCUGAGGAUGAGCCCGCGUCUGAUUAGCUUGUUGGUGAGGUAAUGGCUCACCAAGGCUUCGAUCAGUAGCUGGUCUGAGAGGAUGAUCAGCCACACUGGGACUGAGACACGGCCCAGACUCCUACGGGAGGCAGCAGUGGGGAAUUUUCCGCAAUGGGCGAAAGCCUGACGGAGCAACGCCGCGUGAGGGACGAAGGCCUCUGGGCUGUAAACCUCUUUUCUCAAGGAAGAAGAUAUGACGGUACUUGAGGAAUAAGCCACGGCUAAUUCCGUGCCAGCAGCCGCGGUAAUACGGGAGUGGCAAGCGUUAUCCGGAAUUAUUGGGCGUAAAGCGUCCGCAGGCGGCCUUUCAAGUCUGCUGUUAAAACGUGGAGCUUAACUCCAUCAAGGCAGUGGAAACUGUUGGGCUUGAGUGUGGUAGGGGCAGAGGGAAUUCCCGGUGUAGCGGUGAAGUGCGUAGAUAUCGGGAAGAACACCAGUGGCGAAGGCGCUCUGCUGGGCCAUAACUGACGCUCAUGGACGAAAGCCAGGGGAGCGAAAGGGAUUAGAUACCCCUGUAGUCCUGGCCGUAAACGAUGAACACUAGGUGUCGGGGGAAUCGACCCCCUCGGUGUCGUAGCCAACGCGUUAAGUGUUCCGCCUGGGGAGUACGCACGCAAGUGUGAAACUCAAAGGAAUUGACGGGGGCCCGCACAAGCGGUGGAGUAUGUGGUUUAAUUCGAUGCAACGCGAAGAACCUUACCAGGGUUUGACAUCCUGCGAACCUCUAAGAAAUUGGAGGGUGCCUUCGGGAACGCAGUGACAGGUGGUGCAUGGCUGUCGUCAGCUCGUGUCGUGAGAUGUUGGGUUAAGUCCCGCAACGAGCGCAACCCACGUUUUUAGUUGCCAGCAUUUAGUUGGGCACUCUAGAGAGACCGCCGGUGAUAAACCGGAGGAAGGUGUGGACGACGUCAAGUCAUCAUGCCCCUUACAUCCUGGGCUACACACGUACUACAAUGCUACGGACAAAGGGCAGCGAACUCGCGAGGGCAAGCAAAUCCCAUAAACCGUGGCUCAGUUCAGAUCGUAGGCUGCAACUCGCCUACGUGAAGCAGGAAUCGCUAGUAAUCGCAGGUCAGCAUACUGCGGUGAAUACGUUCCCGGGCCUUGUACACACCGCCCGUCACACCAUGGAAGUUGGCCACGCCCGAAGUCGUUACUCCAACCCUUGUGGAGGAGGACGCCGAAGGUGGGGCUAAUGACUGGGGUGAAGUCGUAACAAGGUAGCCGUACCGGAAGGUGCGGCUGGAUCACCUCCUAACAGGGAGACAAAACUGAUUAUGAUGUCUAAAUUAUUUAUCUUUAGACCAUAAUCCUGUCACCUUAAGUCGAUCGGUACCUCAAUUAAAUAACAAUCAAUCUAAGCAAUUAGUUUUUAGUUAUUUGAGUCAGUUCCUAAACUUUGUCUAGGUCACACCCAGCAAUGGUACUCCUGGGCCAUUAGCUCAGGUGGUUAGAGCGCACCCCUGAUAAGGGUGAGGUCCCUGGUUCAAGUCCAGGAUGGCCCAUUCGGUGUUGGGGGUAUAGCUCAGUUGGUAGAGCGCUUGCUUUGCAAGCAGGAUGUCAGCGGUUCGAGUCCGCUUACCUCCACUGAUCAAACUCCUGAUAGCGAAGUUGAGGAGAUUAUUGUUUAGUGUGAUCUAGAAUUUGUUACUGAUUAAAUGAACCUAGCUUCUUGUCAUUCCUUCUAAAACUCUUUUGUUUUGGCUGAUAAGACGCUGGGCUCCCUGCAAGUAAUUGCAGAGAACUUCAGUAGAACCUUGACAACUGCAUAGGUGAGUCUGGAAAGAAUAAAGCAUCUCAUGGAUGCACUAAUUCUUUUGACUUUUGGUUUUGAGUUAUUCAAAAAUCAAAUUUUUAAUUGAAUUAGUGAUUAAUUCUUGAGCAAGAGCUGAGACUCUAUAACGCCCUUUCAUUUCUUAAAUGCUAAUGAGAGUUUGAUUUUAUAUUUUUCUUUUGUAUAUAAAUUAGAUUAAUUCUAAAAAUAUACGCACAAGGAAAAUAUAAAAGAAAGUGCUAACAACACAUGGCUUAUAGAGAAUUAUAUGGUCAAGCUACAAAGGGCUCACGGUGGAUACCUUGGCACACAGAGGCGAUGA